AUGGCUAAAGAUCAAUUGAGAUACUCUCAAAUCAUUGGUUCACUGAUGUACCUAGCGAGCGCAACGAGGCCUGACAUCGCGUUUGCUGUGAGCAAACUGAGCCGGUUUGUUUCCAAACCGGGUGAUGUACAUUGGCAUGCUAUUGAGAGAGUUAUGCGCUAUCUGAAAGGUACUAUGAACUAUGGACUUCACUAUACCGGAUACCCGUCGGUACUUGAAGGGUAUAGUGAUGCGAAUUGGAUCUCUGAUGCUAAUGAGAUGAAGGCCACAACUGGGUAUAUGUUUACUCUUGGAGGUGGCGCUGUUUCCUGGAAGUCUUGCAAGCAAACGAUCUUAACGAGAUCGACAAUGGAAGCAGAAUUAACGGCAUUAGACACAUCUGGUGUUGAAGCGAGAUGGCUUCGAGAUCUUUUGAUGGACUUGCCAUUGGUUGAUAAACCGGUUCCGGCUAUCCUUAUGAACUGUGACAAUCAGACUGUCAUCACCAAGGUGAAGAGUUCAAAGGACAACAUGAAGUCCACCAAACACAUAAGAAUGAGAUUAAAAGCUGUCAGAAAAUUAAGAAACUCCGGAGUGAUAGCGUUGGACUAUGUCCAUACGGCUAAGAAUCUAGCAGAUCCCUUUACAAAAGGGCUAUCACGUGUUGUGAUAGAUAAUGCAUCGAGGGAGAUGGGUAUGAGACCCACAUGA
rnacentral:rRNA from 1 species